AACGUAGGGUGCAAGCGUUGUCCGGAAUUACUGGGUGUAAAGGGAGCGCAGGCGGAUUGGCAAGUUGGGAGUGAAAACUAUGGGCUCAACCCAUAAAUUGCUUUCAAAACUGUCAGUCUUGAGUGGUGUAGAGGUAGGCGGAAUUCCCGGUGUAGCGGUGGAAUGCGUAGAUAUCGGGAGGAACACCAGUGGCGAAGGCGGCCUACUGGGCACUAACUGACGCUGAGGCUCGAAAGCAUGGGUAGCAAACAGG
rnacentral:rRNA from 1 species